rnacentral:lncRNA from 1 species
AUACCCUUUCGAAAAGGAAGCAAAAGAAAGGAUGAAGGGAAAAAACAUACAGCCCCAUAUCCAUAUCAAACUUUUCUCCUUUCUGCCUCUUCUCCACCUCCAUCUCUCUCCCAUUCUUCCAAAAAUAGAGUAAAUGGAGUAAGAUAAUAGCAAAAACAAUAUAACGGAAAAGAGGAGAUUGGUGGAUCAUGUUGCUACCUGAAUUGGUCGAGGCCGGAAGAUGGACGGUUG